rnacentral:lncRNA from 1 species
UUCUUAGCAGCUUUUUCGCUCCGGAGAAGUUCUUUAUCUUUCUGAGCCGCAGUUUGCCCAACUGCAAAAUGGAAAGAGAUGAAGCAGGAAUUAAGAUACUCUAGGAGCUCGCCCACAGCUGAUUCAGGGCCCCAUUCUGAGGUUACACCCUUAAGCCUUUGCACCACUCAAAGGAAGGAAACCAAGAGAGAGGGGUGGCUGGCUGCUGUUUGGAGACAGUGGUCCUUGUAUUGGCGCCCCGCGGAAUCACUCCAGAUGAGUCAGUGGAUACAGUCUAUAGGUCCCGCCUCAUUUUGCUACCAGACUACGCACUGUCGCCUGAUGGUUAAGAACUGAAGCUUUAGCCGUGCGCGGUGGCUCACGCCUGUAAUCCCAGCACUUUAGGAGGCAGAGGCGUGUGGAUCACCUGAGGUCACGAGUUCGAGACCAGCUUGACCAACAAGCUGGCAUAUCCGAAUGGGCUGAGCUACCGGAUUAAGAGGGACACCCCAAAGCCCCCAUUGCUGGGUUAUUGCUCCAGAGCCAAUGUUCUUGGGGAAAGGAAGAUAUGCCCUUUGUCAACAUUGCC